rnacentral:pre_miRNA from 1 species
CAUAUACUCCCUCCGUCCCAAAAUUCUUGUCUUAAAUUUGUCUAGAUAUGGAUGUAUCAAGUCACGUUUUAGUAUUAGAUACAUCAGUAUCUAGACAAAUCUAAGACAAGAAUUUUGUGACGGAGGGAGUACUAC